rnacentral:misc_RNA from 1 species
GCUAGAAAACCCCACUCAGUUGCAUGUAACAUUGUCUUACUAUUUCUUGAGAGUAGCAGCCUUAACUAGACAUUUUAGAUGCCAUCUACACCAGUUCAACAUGUCUAACUCCAUUUACAAGUGUCAAAUGAUGAAUUGAUGAGCCCUAAAAUUUAAAAGUAUUUGCUCAAAUAAGCUUACCAAAAAAGAAAAAUUAUCAACAAAUAAAUUUUGAAUGAUACACAUGCUUACCUAACAGUGUAUACAUUUUUCAAUUAAAAUUUCAAAAAAUAUCAGGUUUAGUUUAUCUUAAUUAAAUUGCUGCUAAAGAGGUAACACUGAAUAACCUACAUCAUGGAAUUAAAAAUUCUGAGUAAAAAGGAAAACAUGAAAACAGAAGAGCAUAUUAUUUUAAAAUGAAUUAGCUGUGCUUGACCAACCAGACAUUUAAGAUUGAAAUUU